GGAUAAUAGCUCAGUGGUAGAGCACAUGCUUAGCAUACAUGUGAUCAUGGGCUCAAUCCCCAGUACCUCCA
rnacentral:tRNA from 1 species